UACGUAGGGCGCAAGCGUUGUCCGGAAUUAUUGGGCGUAAAGAGCUCGUAGGCGGUUUGUCGCGUCUGCUGUGAAAACUCGAGGCUCAACCUCGGGCUUGCAGUGGGUACGGGCAGACUAGAGUGCGGUAGGGGUGACUGGAAUUCCUGGUGUAGCGGUGGAAAUGCGCAGAUAUCAGGAGGGAACACCGAGUGGCGAAGGCA
rnacentral:rRNA from 1 species